GUCUGGCUAGCUCAGUCAGUGGAGUGUGAGACUUUUGAUUUUGGGGUUGUGGGUUCAAGCCCCAUGCCGGGUG
rnacentral:tRNA from 1 species